rnacentral:rRNA from 1 species
UACGUAGGGUGCGAGCGUUAAUCGGAAUUACUGGGCGUAAAGCGUGCGUAGGCGGUCCGCGAAGUCUGAUGUGGAAGCCCCGGGCUCAACCUGGGAACUGCAUUGGAAACUGACGGGCUCGAGUGUGGCAGAGGGGGGUGGAAUUCCACGUGUAGCAGUGAAAUGCGUAGAGAUGUGGAGGAACACCGAUGGCGAAGGCAGCCCCCUGGGCUAACACUGACGCUCAGGCACGAAAGCGUGGGGAGCAAACAGG